UACCACUACUCCUACCUCUCCACCACACUACUCCUUUUCCCCCACCACUACAUUCUUUCUCCCACUCUCACAACUUUUCUCCCACCAUUAUCACACUCCAUAGAAGCCUUUGAAGCCCCAAGAGAAGUAGCAAAGCAAGGGAGAGUGUGGGAAAACUAUAGAGUGAAGGUUGUGCUUCGAGGGUCCGGGCGACAGAAAGUGAAGCCGAAGAAGAAACGACUCCACGCCAGCUUUAAGAACAAUUGAGGUUGAGCAGGCGAUGGAAUGGAUCGGUGUUGAGCGGAUUUCCCUUUUGAUGUUUAUGUAAUGAAACCUUGAGUAUGCAUCUCCAUAUGCAUAACUCACACGUUUUUUCGCUGCAAACACUCUGACUUAUUUAUCAUUUCUACUUGAACUUAUUACUACUUCAUUUUAAUUAACUUUCAGUUGGGGUCUAAUCGUUAUGGCAGACUCAUUUGUGAAUUACCCAAGUGGUUAUAUAUAUAUACCACUAGUUUGUUAUUAA